AAUAGCAUAACAUCGAUAUAUAGUGAGGGAUAGCAUAGCAUAACAUAACAUCGAUAGAUAGUGAGGGAUAGCAUAGCAUAGCAUAACAUAUAUAUAUAGAUAGAGAGAGAGAGAGUAGAUAAAAUGGUUUUCUACUGUAUGUCUCCAGCAAAAGUGGACAUAGGGUCCAUUGCUUCCCCAAGGACAAAGGGAUUCUCCGAAGCUGGGUGCAAUUUGUCAAGUUUAGGUGGGCAGAUUUUUCAGCUAGCUCUGUUACCGCGUAGGCUACUCAAGAAUACGCAGCGCGCAUUUCAAGGAGGAGGAUUACCACUCAGGGGAUGCCAAGAUGGUCUCACUUGGUUUAAAGAGUAAGAGGACGGCGAAGUUAAUUCCUACCGCCGUGCCGUCUGUGCAUGCAAACCACUCUGCCUGCCCUGUCCCGAGGUCGAGAGACACCGUCUGCCGCAAGCGAGAGAUUGCCACGAUGUUGACAGACGCCUCACUGCAGGAGACCGUGGACACUGUAGACACUGUGGAGAAUGUCGAUACUGGGGAUCAGCCCUUGCCCUCCUCCACUUCUGACGCUGGGACACAAUGUUAUUUGAAGCCCCCCCGAUGGUCUCACGGUAAAUCUUUGGUAUUUUAAGGGGUAGAUAUUAUGUCUAAAACAUUGCAAGUAGGACAUUUCCAUACACAUUGAUGAAAUGAAUACAUAGCCUACACCAAAACAUAGCCGCUUAGAUUUGCCAUGAUUGUCAUAUGUUUGGGUAUGUUUACUGCCUCUGCCACAGCUGUGCAGGUUAACCUGAAGCCCAAGAUGGUUAGCGUGGGCACACAGACUUCAUUAAGCCCACAAACCUCCACUCCCCUCGCUAGUCCUGAACAGACAGUUGACGACGAUGAUGAUGAUAAUGCCACUGUCAUCAGUGACUUGUCGUGGGUGCCCGAAGAGCCGAUGGAUGAGGAGGAAUUGUUUGAUGAGGAGCAUCCAUGACCAUGACACCCCUGCCUUCUCCAGUUGUGCCCAUGGCCCUCUAGACGGAGAUCAGCGCAACAAAGAGUGGCUGGACCCAGGCUCAUUGGCAGCAGUCAAGUUGGAGAACAUAAUGAUGAGGGCUGCCUUACUGAAAGAUGUUCGACAGCUGUCUCCACAGCACCAGACCUUCUCGCUUGAGGCUUACCACUCCC